AAAGAUUAAGCCAUGCAAGUGUCAGUACAAGCUGAAUUAAAGUGAAACCGCGAAUGGCUCAGUAAAUCAGUUACGGUUCAUUUGAUGAAUUUGUAAAAAGACUUGGAUAACUGUGGCAAUUCCAGAGCUAAUACAUGCAUUAAAGUCCCGACCUUGCGGAAGGGACGCUUUUAUUAGAAUACAAAACCAAUCAGAGGAUAGGCAGCAAUGUCUUUCCGAAAACUCCCAGUGACGAAUCUGAGUAACAUGGAACAGAUCGCAUGGCCCAAGAGCAAGGCGACGCAUCAUUCAAACGCCUGCUCUAUCAACUUUGAUGGCCGAUUAUACGCCUACCAUGGUGUUGACGGGUGACGGGGAAUCAGGGUUCGAUUCCGGAGAGGGAGCCUGAGAAACUGCUACCACAUCCAAGGAAGGCAGCAGGCGCGCAAAUUACCCACUCCCGGCACGGGGAGGUAGUGACGAAGUAUAACGAUACGGGACUCCCAUCCGAGGCCCCGUGAUCGGAAUGAGACCGGUUCAGAGAACUGGUGUGAGUAUCCAUUGGAGG
rnacentral:rRNA from 1 species